CGGUUCAAUUGAUAUUCCUGACGAUAUGUGAUUGGUCGGCGCAAGUAUAUAGUGCGGCCAAUUACGUAUCAACAAAGAUCUAAUGAAAUAUCUACUUUUUAAUGACUACGUCUAGUGAUCUCCUCCUCCAUUAAAAGUGAUGAUUUUUUGAUGAAGGACACGUCAACACAACCGACGUAACAACCAUGGCAGUUAGUCGCUCGCUCCUAACUGACGACGCGAAAGCUACAAAAGACGAAGCCUUGCAAGGACUUUGGGAAGACGUUUUAUUUUGCCUUCAAGUAAUAUUUCUUCGUCACUCAUAGUCCUCUCUUUCUUCUUCUCUAACUUUGCUGGUGGAAUCCAGUGUUAAUCAACCGGUGGAUUCCGGCUUGCAUCACACCGCUCGUCAACUCGCACCCGUCUGCCGAUCUCUCGAUUUUCUGAGAAAACUUUGACACUUCGUUUUUGUAAUAUCUGUUGAACUGUAUUUUCUUGUUUGAUUAAACAACUCAAUAAAAUCAAUUCUUCCUCCUGAGUUCUAUCUUCCAUCGGCUUGAAUCUCCUUCGUCAACCAUCGCGUUGUCUUCCCCUAUCAUUUUUGCCGAAAAUGGAAAUUAACAUCGAAGCACAACUCAUUUCUCUCCUCAGUCCUUACCAGAUGGGCAAUUUUGAAUUUUGAUCAAUUCCACAG
rnacentral:lncRNA from 1 species